AAAAAAAUAAAAUAAAAUAACCAUCUGGUUCAUAUCGUUUGUACAUUUAAAAAAAGCCCAUUGUUAAAUGUUUAAAAACUUAAAAGUAAAAAUGAAGUUUUAUGCAUUCAUAUAUAUUUAUAUUACUACAUUAGUUUUAACAUUAUCACUUAGAAUUCAAAAUAAUUAUUUUAUAAAUCAUCAAGUGUUAAAGAGCCCACAGACAAAUAAUAAACCAAACAAACGAGUGUUCAGUAAAAAUAUAUUAAAAAAACAAAAUUAUUCGCAAACAAAUGGAUUUAAUACAACACAAUUUUUAAAAAUAUUAAAAGGAGGAAUUUUUAGUAAUAUUCAUUUAUUGGGUUUAUCUAUUAUAAUGUUGACCUUUGGAUCAACAAUAGGCUUGUUUUACAAAAGUA